AGAGUUUGAUCCUGGCUCAGGACGAACGCUGGCGGCGUGCCUAACACAUGCAAGUCUACGAGAAAAGGGUAGCAAUAUCCUGUGUAAAGUGGCGCAAGGGUGAGUAAUAUGUAAGUAAUCUACCCAUGGGUACGGAAUAACUCGUCGAAAGACGGGCUAAUACCGUAUAAUGCAGCGGCAUCACAUGAUGAUGUUGUUAAAGCCCUAGAGGCGCCUAUGGAUGAGCUUGCAUCCGAUUAGCUAGUUGGUAGAGUAAAAGCCUACCAAGGCAACGAUCGGUAGCUGGUCUGAGAGGAUGAUCAGCCACACUGGAACUGAAAUACGGUCCAGACUCCUACGGGAGGCAGCAGUGAGGAAUAUUGGGCAAUGGACGCAAGUCUGACCCAGCAACGCCGCGUGGAGGACGAAGGUCGUAAGAUUGUAAACUCCUUUUGAAGGGGACGAAAAAUUUCGAUAGCAUCGAAACUUGACUGUACCCUUAGAAGAAGCCCCGGCUAACUACGUGCCAGCAGCCGCGGUAAUACGUAGGGGGCAAGCGUUGUCCGGAUUCACUGGGUGUAAAGGGCGCGUAGGCGGGUUUGUAAGUCAGUGGUGAAAUCCUGCGGCUUAACCGUAGAACUGCCUCUGAUACUGCAAAUCUUGAGUUCGGAAGAGAGUAGCGGAAUUCCAGGUGUAGUGGUGAAAUACGUAGAUAUCUGGAAGAACACCAGUGGCGAAGGCGGCUACUUGGUCCGCAACUGACGCUGANGCGCGAAAGCAUGGGGAGCGAACAGGANUAGAUACCCUGGNAGUCCAUGCUGUAAACGAUGAAUACUAGGUGUUGGAUGCAUUAGCAUCCAGUGCCGCAGCUAACGCAUUAAGUAUUCCACCUGGGGAGUACGAUCGCAAGGUUGAAACUCAAAGGAAUUGACGGGGGCCCGCACNAGCAG
rnacentral:rRNA from 1 species